rnacentral:tRNA from 1 species
GCCUAGGUGGCUUAGUUGGCUAAGCAUCUGACUUCAGCUCAGGUCAUGAUCUCACAAUUUGUGGGUUUCACUCCUGCAUUGGGCU